UACGAAGGGGGCUAGCGUUGUUCGGAAUUACUGGGCGUAAAGCGCACGUAGGCGGCUCUGUAAGUAGGGGGUGAAAUCCCCGGGCUCAACCCGGGAACUGCCUUCUAGACUGCAGACCUUGAGAUCAGGAGAGGCGAGCGGAAUUCCGAGUGUAGAGGUGAAAUUCGUAGAUAUUCGGAGGAACACCAGUGGCGAAGGCGGCUCGCUGGACUGAUACUGACGCUGAGGUGCGAAAGCGUGGGGAGCAAACAGG
rnacentral:rRNA from 1 species